rnacentral:rRNA from 1 species
GAUGAACGCUGGCGGCGUGCCUAAUACAUGCAAGUCGAGCGAAUGGAUUAAGAGCUUGCUCUUAUGAAGUUAGCGGCGGACGGGUGAGUAACACGUGGGUAACCUGCCCAUAAGACUGGGAUAACUCCGGGAAACCGGGGCUAAUACCGGAUAACAUUUUGAACCGCAUGGUUCGAAAUUGAAAGGCGGCUUCGGCUGUCACUUAUGGAUGGACCCGCGUCGCAUUAGCUAGUUGGUGAGGUAACGGCUCACCAAGGCAACGAUGCGUAGCCGACCUGAGAGGGUGCGCGGCCACACUGGGACUGAGACACGGCCCAGACUCCUACGGGAGGCAGCGGGAGGGAAUCUUCCGCAAUGGACGAAAGUCUGACGGAGCAACGCCGCGUGAGUGAUGAAGGCUUUCGGGUCGUAAAACUCUGUUGUUAGGGAAGAACAAGUGCUAGUUGAAUAAGCUGGCACCUUGACGGUACCUAACCAGAAAGCCACGGCUAACUACGUGCCAGCCGCCGCCGUAA